rnacentral:rRNA from 1 species
CUACGGGUGGCUGCAGUGGGGAAUCUUAGACAAUGGGCGCAAGCCUGAUCUAGCCAUGCCGCGUGAGUGAUGAAGGCCUUAGGGUCGUAAAGCUCUUUCGCUGGGGAAGAUAAUGACGGUACCCGGUAAAGAAACCCCGGCUAACUCCGUGCCAGCAGCCGCGGUAAUACGGGGGGGGUAGCGUUGUUCGGAAUUACUGGGCGUAAAGCGCGCGUAGGCGGGUUGUUAAGUCGGGGGUGAAAUCCCGGGGCUCAACCCCGGAACUGCCUUCGAUACUGGCGGUCUGGAGUUCGAGAGAGGUGGGUGGAAUUCCGAGUGUAGAGGUGAAAUUCGUAGAUAUUCGGAGGAACACCAGUGGCGAAGGCGGCUCACUGGCUCGAUACUGACGCUGAGGUGCGAAAGUGUGGGGAGCAAACAGGAUUAGAUACCCCCGUAGUC